GAUGAACGCUGGCGGCGUGCCUAAUACAUGCAAGUCGAGCGAACGGACGAGAAGCUUGCUUCUCUGAUGUUAGCGGCGGACGGGUGAGUAACACGUGGAUAACCUACCUAUAAGACUGGGAUAACUUCGGGAAACCGGAGCUAAUACCGGAUAAUAUUUUGAACCGCAUGGUUCAAAAGUGAAAGACGGUCUUGCUGUCACUUAUAGAUGGAUCCGCGCUGCAUUAGCUAGUUGGUAAGGUAACGGCUUACCAAGGCAACGAUGCAUAGCCGACCUGAGAGGGGUAUCCGGCAACCUGGAAAUUAAGCACCGUUCAAAAUUCUAAGGGAAGGCGGAGUAAGGAAUCCUCCGGAAAGGGCGGAAAGCCUAAGGGGCCACGGCGGGGGAGGGGUGAAGGGCUUUCGGAUGUUAAACUCUGGUUAUAGGGAAAGAACAUUGUUGAAGUAACUGGUGCACACUUGAAGGUACCCAAUCAAGAAGGCCCCGCUAACUUACGG
rnacentral:rRNA from 1 species